rnacentral:rRNA from 1 species
UACGAAGGGGGCUAGCGUUGUUCGGAGUUACUGGGCGUAAAGGGCGCGUAGGCGGCGCAUCAAGUCAGGCGUGAAAGCCCUGGGCUCAACCCGGGAAUUGCGCUUGAGACUGGUGUGCUCGAGUACGGGAGAGGAUAGUGGAAUUCCCAGUGUAGAGGUGAAAUUCGUAGAUAUUGGGAAGAACACCGGUGGCGAAGGCGGCGACCUGGUCCUUUACUGACGCUGAGGCGCGAAAGCGUGGGGAGCAAACAGG